AUAAUUCAGCAAUAAAUUUGGAAUUAAAAAAACAUUUAAUGAAAGUAAAUUCGUAACACUCUAUUUUUAUAGUUAUAUAGAUGCAUAUUUUAUUGCAUGAUUAUGUUGUUUGUUCAUUGUUGUCUUAAGUUUUUACUCUAAUUUUAGCAAUUAAACUAAUUAACUUACAUGAAGCCCAUCUAAUUACAUUAACCAACCCCCGGCCCAAUAGCAUAUCAUCCUUCAGUAAUUGGCAAAAGAGAAACAAAGAAAAGGCACAAUUUCUUCAUCUAAAAUGCCGAGAGAGACGAGUCCAGGCUUGAAGAUCCUCUGGUUAUGGACCAUCGGCACCGCCGGCAUUUUGGUUACAAAUGUGGUAAGGACCAGGCUAAAAGACAUGGAGCAGAUGAUGAACUCUGACCACCACCAGCAGCAGCAGCAGGAAGAGCAUCAAAGCAGUCUAAGUGAUCCAGUCUUAUUGGACCAUGACGAGGGAGUCAUUGAAGAAGUGAAACCGUAGGCUUAGCAGCUAGUAAACUAGUGUCAGCUAUGUGUUUGUUUAAUGUCUCGAAAGAAUAUGGGAGCCCAGUACUUUCGUUGUCUAUUUGUUGAACUUGACUGACUAUAAUUGAGACCAAAUAAUUAGGCGUGACUCUCCAAUGUGUUUGCUGAAUGUUUUGAAAUGGAAUAUCCUCCUGCUAGCGAAUUGAAUUU